rnacentral:rRNA from 1 species
GGGCCCGCACAAGCGGUGGAGCAUGUGGUUUAAUUCGAUGAUACGCGAGGAACCUUACCUAGGCUUAAAUGUAGAUUGACGUAUUGGGAAACCAGUAUUUCUUCGGACAAUCUACAAGGUGCUGCAUGGUUGUCGUCAGCUCGUGCCGUGAGGUGUCGGGUUAAGUCCCAUAACGAGCGCAACCCUAUCAUUAGUUGCUAACAUUAGUUGAGGACUCUAAUGAAACUGCCCGCGUAAGCGGUGAGAAGGUGGGAUGACGUCAAAUCAUCACGGCCCUUACGUCUAGGGCUACACACGUGCUACAAUGGUAACUACAGGAGGGAAGCUAUCUGGUGACAGUGAGCAAAUCCUUAAAAGUUAUCCC